UGGCCCAUGCUCAUCCAGAGACUGACAGAGUUGACACAACUCUGCAUUGUCAUUACAGCCACCGCUGCUGACAGCUCUGCCUGGAACAACCUGUGAUUACUAGAGAUUCAGCAGAGGAUUUGAGAUUUUAUUAUCUGGCCUACAACUUCUGGAUUUACAUCUUUUUUUCUUUUUUUGACAGCCAUUCAUCAUUUGUUUUAUUUUUAUCAUCUUUGUAAUCUCUGCUACUCUGAUCUCAACAAAGAGAAGAUGCUGAAGAGAGAGGGCUUUUUGAAAAGUUGGAAUUUUUAACUUUGUUUUUCACUCCACUGUGAAAAACAAAUCUGAUAUUGAAUUGAUACUAAUAUAUUCGUCCAUCCAUCCAUUUUCUUCGACUCAUCUUUUAGUUCAUCUAAAUAUGUGCAUGUCUGCAUGCGUUUGCAUGUGUAUUGAGUGUUGUGUGGGGUGAUGUAACAUUGGAUGUGUUCCAGAGAUGUGGCCUGUGUCCAGUAUCACAUGGAAUUUAGCCAUGCCCCUCUCCUCCCUGUUUGCUAUGGACAAGAAAUAGAAGCAAACUUCCAACUUUCUGAAAUACUACUAAACAUUUAUAUUUUAUAUCCCUGCAACAGUGGACUGGUGGCCCGUCCACGCUGUAUCCAGCCUCUUGCCCAGUGUCACCUGGGAUGGACUACAGCUACAACCCCAACCAAUACCCACAAAGCAAUUUGUGUGGAUGACAAAUACUUGAAAAGAUCAGGUUCCAGCUGGAAUGAUGCAGUGCAGAAAUGCGAUGGCCGUGGUGUUCUCACAACAAACUUCUUUUGGAUUUCACUUAUUAAUGAUUAUUUGCCUCAUCUGAAUGCAGUUUCUGAACGAGUCACAUGUAUUUUAAAAUGAAAUAAGCUUUUAUAAAUUUGUGUUUGUUUAAUCUUAUAAAAGCUGUAAUGGUUUACAUAAGAUUUUUUUAGAGUAAAAAAAAACUUGCUAUGAUGCAGACAUGCUGUGUGUGCUGACUCUUCCUCUUUCUCUCUCUCUCUCUCUCUCUCUCUAUAUAUAUAUAUAUAUAUAUGUGUGUGUGUAUGUGUGUGUGUGUGUGGGUUUUCUUUCUUUCUUUCUUUCUUCUAAUAAUAUAAAUUCAACUGCCUUGGUUAUCUUAGAGCUUGGGCAGCUGCUGUGCAUAAAUAAUAUGAAAAAUCUAACUUUCUGUCAUGGAGGAAUCUGGAGGUUUACAAAAACCUUAGUCUUGUUUUGAUUAUCUUCUCUCCUCAGACCUUCAAUUGAGUCAACAUCCGUUGUAUGUUACAAACUUAGAAACGCGAACACAUCACCACAUUGAAACCAGUUUCUUUUGCAAGUAUCCACACAACAGGGUGGUAAAACUUUUAUUUUAUUUAUAUUUCAUUCAUUUCUGAAUGUUUCAGUUUGGAAAAGUUUGUUAAGCAGAUGACCUUGGCAAAUUCAAGCCUCUAGAGGGCAGUAUAAGUCUAAACAUUGCAGAGCUGUGUUUGAAGAAAAGUACACUAAGUUCAAGUCCAGUCUUUAUGAGUGUGUAGUGUUUGUUGUAAGCACACCGAAUAUGUGUAUCUGUGUGUGUGCAUGUAUACGUGUGGGUUAGCCCACCUUUUAGGACCCAAUGUGUGUCUGUAUCUGCCUGCAGGUUAUAGCGCUGCCCACAGGGAAUUCCUGCCUGUGCUGCUUUGAAGUGAAGCUGCUCUUGUCUGAUAAACAGAGAGCAGAGCAGGUGUUGGAGCUGGCUGACUCAUCCGUUCAGCAUGUGCUCUUUGCAUUCAUCACUGUACUCACUGAUCAAAAGAAGCAUCCUAUGCUUAAUAAAGUUCAAGUGAAAGGCAGUAUGUGUCCAUAUGUAUCAUUGCUUAGCUUAUUGUGAAACUGUUUGGUGUAGCUGAUAAACCACAUUAUCAGAUAGAAUCAAGAUACUAUAAGAAAUAAAAAAUGACAUAAUAAGUAACUCUUCUCCCGGAUGAAUGACCUCUUACCAACUUUACGAGACGUUAACUGUAAAGUUAAUUAUGAGCAGCAACUUUUCUCUUUCCUGA